GCCUGGCGGUGGCAGGAGCCUGUAGUCCCAGCUACUCGGGAGGCUGAGGUGGGAGGAUCCCUUGAGCCCAGGAGUUCUGGGCUGCAAUGCGCUAUGCCGAUUGGGCGUCCGCACUGAGUUCAGCAUCAAUAUGGUGACCUCCUGGGAGUGGGGGACGACCAGGUUGCCUAAGGAGGGGUGAACCGGCCCAGGUUGGAAAUGGAGCAGGUCAAAACUCCCGUGCUGAUCAGCAGUGAGACUGAGCCUCUGAAUAGCUGCUGCACUCCAGCCUGGGCAACAUAGCAAGACCCCGUAUCUA
ensembl:misc_RNA Metazoa_SRP Metazoan signal recognition particle RNA